AGCGUCUGCCAAAUGAAUAAAUGUAAAUGUAACAUAGCCUACGCAGAUGAACAUUAAAAAAAAAAAACAACAACAGUGAGAACCUGUCCACCGUAUCGGAACAUAAGGUAGUUUUCACAUGGGACUUUCCGUGUGUCAACAGAUAUGACGGAUAUGAUAUGAAGUGCGGCCAAGUUCUGAGAAAGAUAGAGAAGUGUCACAAAACCACGCGGGCUGCCUACCUAGACAGUAUUUUUGUGCAUUAAUGGCGCAUUCCGAAACAGCGUUUUUGGAAAUCAUAGAUGCGCUCUCGCGUUCCGUCUGCCCCAGACAUUCGUCGCGUCUCACUUUUUAUGCAGGGACACGUGCCACGUGCGUUACGUUUUAAGACGGCGUCAAACUUUAUCCAUAACGCGUCUGUUUUUGAACGAAAGAACGCGUUCUGUGUGAACGUUCCACGUAACUCAAAGUUCUCCAAACCGCAUCAAAGGUGCGGGACCGCCCAGACCGAACGCGUUCUUGAGCCAGAAAGCAAGGCGGAAAGAAUAGAACACUACACGUGUUUCUCGAUAUGCGUUUUUAACCAUUUAUUUAUUUAUUUAUUUAUUUUGCUUGACAUGGCGUCUGAAAACGCAGCGCUCCUGCACGAGACGCUGAAAACACAGCAAGUCGCGGCGCAACGGUCAAAGAAGGCGCGCGGAUGGACGAAAAAUAACGUUUCUGUGUGAACGCCCCUUAACUAGGCAGCACACACGGUUAUUUUAAAAGCGUUUUUUUUUUUUUUUUAUCACUUUCGGGUGUCAUUUAAAACAUCUCUUAUUAUUUAUUUUUAUUUAUUUAUUUUUGUCUAAAGUAUUAUCGACAAAUCCAUAUGACCGUGGUUGAUAAACGGGAGGAAACAAAAACGCUAGCCGCGCAAUAAUAUUUCCGGGUGUUUUGAAAACGGGGGAACCCCGUGGUGUUUUUUAUUACCCUGGGUGUACUACGAAAAGUGAAAAGAAUACAUGUCAUCAUAACGUGAUGUUGGUACAGACACGACUAAAUCUAAACUAAAUGGCUUCUGGAUCAGCACUAUCAGAUCCGUCUUUAAACGGGGCUUCGUCCACACCGGGUGAGAACGAGUACCCAUCAGGUUUCCCUCAGAGCAUCUGUGAUGAAGUCCCGAAGGAGAAGUACUUGUGCAGCAACUGUAAUAAUGUACUUAAUAAAGCGUGUCAAACGGUGUGCGGUCACCGCUACUGCCUCGCCUGUGUCAAUUGGCUGGUAAGAAACAACAAGGACCUUAUGUGCACCAAAUGUAAAGAAGAGGAUCCAAGCAUUGACACUAAUGACACUAGUGUACUGACUCUUGACCAAUUCUUCAAUGAUGCAGCUAUCAAUAAGGAAAUUUUAGACCUGAAAGUUCACUGUGCUAACCAAGGCUGCCCAUGGAGAAGCACCCUGAAGAACUUUGAGGAGCAUCAGAGUCAGUGUGAAUAUGCCCUGAUCCCUUGCAACAUUGGUUGUGGCAUAAUGGUGCAGAGAAAGACAUUGGCCACACAUCUGGAGAGAGGCUGUCCCAACAACAAGACCACAUGUCCCUCUUGCUCAGGUGUCCUGACACCUAGAGAGCUGCAGAAGCAUGCAUGUUCCAGUUCAGUCGAUAAGAAGACAGCAAAGGCAGAGAAAAGGCAAAAGAAUAAUCCACAAGGCAACUCCAAAAAGAAAGAGCCAUGCAUUUUCUCAGAAGUCGGUUGUCCUUUUAAGGGUAAUGCAGACAAAGUAAAAGAGCACGAGUCCUGCAGUCACAUUGGUCAUCUUCAGCUUCUCUUGGAGGUCACCAGGACUCUUCAGCGAACCGUACAUUCCCCACCUGAGAUGGGUCACCAUGAAAACACUCUGGACUAUCUUCAUCCUGGUCAGAGUGGUGCUGCUUCUCCUUCUCAGAGUGAAGGUGAGAUCGAGACUGAUGGAGGAGACCCAGGAAUAAAUGAUAAGGCCUUCAGCCUCCAUGACAACCAUGCUGAACUUGCCGUGGGACAGCAACUAGACGGCCUACAGCAGAGAGUGCAGAUUAUGGAGAACAUCAUCUCAGCUUUGAACCGAGAGGUGGAGAAGACCCAGCUCAGUGUGGUCACACUGGAGAGAGACAACCAGAACAACCAGCAGAUCAUUCAGCACUUAGAAACAAAGGUAGCCGAGCAGCAGCAGCGGCUGGUCAGGAAAAACAUAUGCAUUGCAUCCUUACAGCAGUCUAUCAGCGCCCAGCAGGACGUCUCAUAUGAUGGAACCUUUCUCUGGCGCUUGUGUGAUGUCAGCCAGAGACUGCGAGAGGCAGCAACCGGGCAAAAGAUCAGUCAAUACUCACCAGCUUUCUACACCGCCAGGUAUGGAUUUAAAGUAUGCAUGCGGCUCUAUUUGAAUGGAGAUGGGGUUGGGAAGGGAACGCAUAUCUCCCUUUUCUUUGUUAUCAUGAAAGGGGACUAUGACCCUGUUCUCUCAUGGCCAUUCAGACACAAGGUAACGUUCUUUCUCAUAGAUCAGAACCACAGAGAGCAUGUCAUCGAUGCUUUCCGUCCCGACCUGUCCUCUGCAUCCUUUCACCGGCCCGUCUCAGAGAUGAAUGUGGCCAGUGGGUGUCCCCUGUUUUUCCCUCUGGGGAAAUUGAGGUCACCUAAGCAUGCCUACUGCAAGGAUGACACAAUCUAUAUCAAGUGUGUGGUGGACACCUCCUCGUGAACCAGGAAAGCUUGGCUGUUAAAGGUGAAGUGUGUGAUUUCUGCACCACCAGCGUCGCCAGACGGAAAAUGCAAAAAUAACUAGAUAGAUGGGAGAUCUGCUAAGCUGUUUUUCUUUUAACUUCACAUGAUAUCUCAUUUGCAAUGCUUUCCUGUGGGUGCAUAAAUAAAAGACUAUGUUUAGACUGACACAUGGCUCUUAAUGUUUUAAUCAUGGAUUUAUUAUUUUUUAAUUUUUUAUUCUUUUGUAUUUAUAAUGGAAU